rnacentral:rRNA from 1 species
UAAGGAAUAUUGGUCAAUGGGCGCAAGCCUGAACCAGCCAUCCCGCGUGCAGGAAGACGGCCCUAUGGGUUGUAAACUGCUUUUCCAGGGGGAGAAUUUUUCUGUCGUGACAGGAAUUGACGGUACCCUGGGAAUAAGCAUCGGCUAACUCCGUGCCAGCAGCCGCGGUAAUACGGAGGAUGCGAGCGUUAUCCGGAUUUAUUGGGUUUAAAGGGUGCGUAGGCGGAUAGAUAAGUCAGUGGUGAAAACCUGCAGCUUAACUGUAGACUUGCCGUUGAUACUGUCAGUCUUGAGUAUGGUCAAGGUAGGCGGAAUGUGUAAUGUAGCGGUGAAAUGCUUAGAUAUCACACAGAACACCGAUAGCGAAGGCAGCUCACUAAACUGUAACUGACGCUGAGGCACGAAAGCGUGGGGAUCAAACA